rnacentral:rRNA from 1 species
GCCCUGCUUGCAGGGUACUCGAGUGGCGAACGGGUGAGUAACACGUGGGUGAUCUGCCCUGCACUUCGGGAUAAGCCUGGGAAACUGGGUCUAAUACCGGAUAGGAGCCAUUUUUAGUGUGAUGGUUGGAAAGUUUUUUCGGUGUAGGAUGAGCUCGCGGCCUAUCAGCUUGUUGGUGGGGUAAUGGCCUACCAAGGCGGCGACGGGUAGCCGGCCUGAGAGGGUGGACGGCCACAUUGGGACUGAGAUACGGCCCAGACUCCUACGGGAGGCAGCAGUGGGGAAUAUUGCACAAUGGGCGCAGGCCUGAUGCAGCGACGCCGCGUGGGGGAUGACGGCCUUCGGGUUGUAAACUCCUUUCGCUAGGGACGAAGCUUUUUGUGACGGUACCUAGAUAAGAAGCACCGGCUAACUACGUGCCAGCAGCCGCGGUAAUACGUAGGGUGCGAGCGUUGUCCGGAAUUACUGGGCGUAAAGGGCUCGUAGGUGGUUUGUCGCGUCGUCUGUGAAAUUCCGGGGCUUAACUCCGGGCGUGCAGGCGAUACGGGCAUAACUUGAGUACUGUAGGGGUAACUGGAAUUCCUGGUGUAGCGGUGAAAUGCGCAGAUAUCAGGAGGAACACCGAUGGCGAAGGCAGGUUACUGGGCAGUUACUGACGCUGAGGAGCGAAAGCAUAGG